rnacentral:lncRNA from 1 species
CAGCCCUUCCAAUCUUCCUGGAAUCAUUCUUCCUGGGUACUUGUCUUUGAUCCGUUUCUAUUAAUCUCAGGUCUAUCUGUCCGGGAGGACUUGCCACACUCAUAGCCUCAAAUGCUGACCGUGGCAUCUUUGCAAUGCUAUAAAUGUUACUCUGGCUCUUAUCUGUGAUUUAGUGCUUCUCUCACCUGGAGCAAAGGUAGAGGGGAAGGGUCAAACUGGAGUAGGAGGAGAGGUGGGUCUUUUUUUUUUUUUUUUCCUUUUUUUACCCUGGCCCAUAAAUCAUAAUCAAGGGAUUUGGAGCAUGCCCCACUUCUUGCAAAAAAGUAGUACAGAGAAAAAUUGCAUAACCUCAAAGCAUCUCAUAUCUAAAUAAUAAUAAUAACCAGAGAACCAUGUUCGUGCACCCCAACAUACCAGCUUUCCCAAUCUGGAUGUGCAGAUAAGAUCUCCGCUCUGGUGUUUCACUAUUGUUUUGCUUGUUUUUUUUUUUUUUUUUUUUUUUUAAGAAGAGAGGUCAACUCUUAUUCAUUUUAGAAUUCCUCUCAGUGCUCAGAGGGUACCGUGGACAAAAGACACAAAAUGAAUAAUGAAUAAAAUUUGCAGUUCCAAUGCCAAUCUUGUCUCUACCCAGCUCCCUGACCUUGGGCAAGACACAGUCUUUUGGUGUGUCUGGCUAUAACAGUUGGGUUUUGCUGCAAACCUACUUAACUCCAGUGAGCCUCGAUUUCCUCAUUGGUAAAGUGAGCAUAAGAAUCCCUG